AUUGAACGCUGGCGGCAGGCCUAACACAUGCAAGUCGAGCGGAUGAGUGGAGCUUGCUCCAUGAUUCAGCGGCGGACGGGUGAGUAAUGCCUAGGAAUCUGCCUGGUAGUGGGGGACAACGUUUCGAAAGGAACGCUAAUACCGCAUGCGUCCUACGGGAGAAAGCAGGGGACCUUCGGGCCUUGCGCUAUCAGAUGAGCCUAGGUCGGAUUAGCUAGUAGGUGAGGUAAUGGCUCACCUAGGCGACGAUCCGUAACUGGUCUGAGAGGAUGAUCAGGCACACUGGAACUGAGACACGGUCCAGACUCCUACGGGAGGCAGCAGUGGGGCAUAUUGGACAAUGGGCGAAAGCCUGAUCCAGCCAUGCCGCGUGUGUGAAGAAGGUCUUCGGAUUGUAAAGAACUUUAAGUUGGGAGGAAGGGCAGUAAGUUAAUACCUUGCUGUUUUGACGUUACCAACAGAAUAAGCACCGGCUAACUUCGUGCCAGCCGCCGCCGUAAAAC
rnacentral:rRNA from 1 species